rnacentral:precursor_RNA from 10 species
UUAGCAAUUCUACUUAUCCACGUAUCGUAGUAGCAGCACACAAAACUAUCAUUUUCUAAUUUGCUGGUUUCUGUGAGCUGCUUCACUGUUACAGUGAUUUAUCAUCAAAAACAACUU